AACGAACGCUGGCGGCAUGCUUAACACAUGCAAGUCGAACGAGACCUUCGGGCCUAGGGGCGCACGGGUGCGUAACGCGUGGGAACCUGCCCUUAGGUUCGGAAUAACUCCCCGUAAGGGGUCCUAAUACCGGAUAAUGUAUUCGGACCAAGGAGUUAGGGCCUGUGGGUGGGCCCGCGUUGGUUUAGCGAGUUGGUGGGGUAAAAGCCUGCCAAGGCGAUGAUCCAUAGGUGGUCUGAGAGGAGGAACAGCGCCACUGGGACUGGGACACGGCCCAGACUGGUACGAGAGGUAGCAGUGGGGAAAAUUGGACAAGGGGCGAAAGCCUGAAACAGCAAUGCCGCGUGAGUGAUGAACGCGUUAUGGUUGUAAAGCGCUUUUGACCGGGAUGAUAAUGACAGUACCGGUAGAAUAAGCUCCGGUUAACUCCGU
rnacentral:rRNA from 1 species